AAGUGGAUCUCGUAAAGCUAUGAAAGCUAGCUAAGCUUGUAAUUACUGUUGCUCCCCAAAAGCUCAUCUGACUAUAAAAAAAAGACCUGUUUAUGAAACUUCUUACCCUCGGGAUGAGAAAGUUACCUCGGGAUGAGAAAGUGCUCUGCGAUGGAUCGCGUCGCGGUCUCAAAAUGGAGCGAGGAAUUUCAGAUCCCCACCCGUUCCACCAAAAAAAGUAUAUCUAUUGCGCGGUUAAAGUCUCUUCCUCUCCUCCUCUUUCAAAGCAGUGGCAACACUGUCGCCCAGUUUCGCCGCUGUCGCCCAGCCCCUUUGCCGUCGCCCAACCCUAGCAUCGUCGCCCAACUUCGUCGUUCUAUCGUCCGCCGUCUAGGGCCCCGCCCCUCCAAUCCUUCAUUCAUUCUUCCUAUCUACCACGAACCCCCCCCGCCCCGCGCAACCUCCAAACCUAGCCCCCUCCAUUCAAAUUGCGAGGCACGACCAUAGAAAUCGUUGAUUACAAGCUUCAAGAGUUGAAUUCAUCUAUUUCUCCUCCUUUCUCAUGCCCUAUUCAUGCAAAUCAGGGUUGCUAUUCGGGAUGUAAACUUGAAGGAUGUUUGGAUCUAUUUAAGCUAAAUAAGGAGUUAGCUUGGACCUCUUCAAAUGGAAUUAGCCACAAUGAGAAAAGUAUACAAAGGGCUUUGAGUGACAAUUGUUGCCAUCCUGUGAUAUUAUAUUCACUGGGAAAGUAUUAUGAGGGCAGACAAAUCUCAAGGAAUAGUUUGUGGGAGUAGCAUUUUGAGAAAGGAGAAUGUAUAGAGAAGAGUUUCGACGUACUUUUGACAUGUACGAGGUUAGUGUAAUAUGAAUAUGGUUCAUUGGGUUAGUCUGAAACAUCUGUUUCAUUCUCUUAUUGUAGUUAUAGAUUUACAGUAUAGUAUUUGUAUAAAAAUAUUAUAAUUUACAAAUUUGAUCAUAUUUAGUUUGUAUAUGCAUAUGAAAACUUUGAUCUUAUUAUAUGCAACUUUGUUACAUUUUAU